rnacentral:lncRNA from 1 species
CUGCUCUUACACUGGCUCGCGGAGGUCCGCGGGCCACUCGCUCGCGGCUUGCAUCCAACUGACUGUUGCUUCGUGAGGGGGAGACUGGCUAAGAGCCUCUCUGGUGGCCGAGGGGCGGCGGCGGCGGCAGCAGCGGCCGCGACAGGCGCCAGAGGCUGCGUCUUCAGGCCUGUCCGGGAGAAUUGUUGCAGAAUUCGGUGUGAAAGGUGCUUGAGCAGCUGUCCACGUGCAUCCCAUUGUCCUAAGCUACAGCUGGAUUUUCCUGUGGAUCUGAGAAGGCUGGUCCUGCCUGUGAUACCACUUGUGACCAGAACAGCAGUGCAGCCAUACAAGUACCCAGAAGGGUGA